AGAGUUUGAUCCUGGCUCAGGAUGAACGCUAGCGGCAGGCUUAACACAUGCAAGUCGAGGGGUAACAGGGUAGCAAUACUGCUGACGACCGGCGAACGGGGNNNNNNNNNNNNNNNNNNNNNNNNNNNNNNNNNNNNNNNNNNNNNNNNNNGAUUAAUACUCAAUGACAUUUCGGAGAGGCAUCUCUCUGAUCUUAAAGCUCCGGCGGUUAUGGAUGGGCAUGCGUGCCAUUAGUUUGUUGGUGAGGUAACGGCUCACCAAGUUGACUAUGAUGGCUAGGGGGUCUAAAAGGAUAAUCCCCCACACUGGUACUGAGACACGGACCAGACUCCUACGGGAGGCAGCAGUGAGGAAUAUUGGGCAAUGGAGGCAACUCUGACCCAGCCAUGCCGCGUGAAGGAUUGACGGCCCUCUGGGUUGUAAACUUCUUUUGUACGGGAAUAACCCUCCGAACGUGUUCGGAGCUGAAGGUACCGUAAGAAUAAGGAUCGGCUAACUCCGUGCCAGCAGCCGCGGUAAUACGGAGGAUCCAAGCGUUAUCCGGAUUUACUGGGUUUAAAGGGUGCGUAGGCGGAUUGAUAAGUCAGUGGUGAAAGCCUGCAGCUUAACUGCAGAACUGCCAUUGAUACUGAAAAGCUUGAGUACAUUUGAGGUAAGCGGAAUGUGUAGUGUAGCGGUGAAAGUGCUUAGAGAUGACACAGAACACCGACGGCGAAGGCAGGUUACCAACCCAUUACUGACGCUGAGGCACGAAAGCGUGGGGAUCAAACAGGAUUAGAUACCCUGGUAGUCCACGCCGUAAACGAUGAGUACUAGGUGUUGGGGGUAUACAGUCGGUGGCCAAGCGAAAGCGAUAAGUUAUCCACCUGGGGAGCACGACCGCAAGGUUGAAACUCAAAGGAAUUGACGGGGGCCCGCACAAGCGGAGGAACAUGUGGUUUAAUUCGAUGAUACGCGAGGAACCAACCUUACCUGGGCUUAAAUGUAGAUUGCAUGAGGUGGAAACACUUCUUCCCUUCGGGGCUAUUUACAAGGUGCUGCAUGGUUGUCGUCAGCUCGUGCCGUGAGGUGUCGGCUUAAGUGCCAUAACGAGCGCAACCCUUGUCGUUAGUUACCAUCAAGUAAUGUUGGGGACUCUAGCGAGACUGCCACCGUAAGGUGUGAGGAAGGUGGGGAUGACGUCAAAUCAGCACGGCCCUUAUGUCCAGGGCUACACACGUGUUACAAUGGCCGAUACAAAGGGCAGCUACUCCGCGAGGAGAUGCUAAUCUCCAAAGUCGGUCUCAGUUCGGAUCGAAGUCUGCAACCCGACUUCGUGAAGCUGGAUUCGCUAGUAAUCGCAUAUCAGCCAUGAUGCGGUGAAUACGUUCCCGGGCCUUGUACACACCGCCCGUCAAACAAUGGAAGCUGGGGGUACCUGAAGUCUGUAACCGCAAGGAGCGGCCUAGGGUAAAACUAGUAACUGGUGUUAAGUCGUAACAAGGUAACC
rnacentral:rRNA from 1 species